rnacentral:misc_RNA from 1 species
GAUGAAGAACGCAGCGAAAUGCGAUAAGUAAUGUGAAUUGCAGAAUUCAGUGAAUCAUCGAAUCUUUGAACGCACAUUGCGCCCUCUGGUAUUCCGGGGGGCAUGUCUGUUCGAGCGUCAUUAUAACCACUCAAGCUCUCGCUUGGUAUUGGGGCUCGCGGUUCCGCGGCCCCUAAAAUCAGUGGCGGUGCCUGUCGGCUCUACGCGUAGUAAUACUCCUCGCGAUUGAGUCCGGUAGGUCUACUUGCCAACAACCCCCAAUUUUUACAGGUUGACCUCGGAUCAGGUAGGGAUACCCGCUGAACUUAAGCAUAUCAAUAAGCGGAGGA